UAAUCCAUACAACACCCGAUUCUUUAACCGGGGACACCGAAGAUUCUCCUGAGCUGAUUACAGUAAGAUCUAGAAUGGGGAAAAAUGAGCAGGAUGGUGGAGAAGCGAUGGACAGUGGCGAGCUAAUCUUGUAGAAUCUACCGUUGGCUAGCUUCUGCAGGUUUCUCCUGUGGGCUCGCACUGUCCAGCAAAUCAACAUCCCCAACUCCGACAGGUGGACCAAUGCUGCAACGGGCUGUGUUGUGAAUUGCAAUGGCAUCCUUCAGCUUCUGAAGCUGCAAUUGCAAAUGGAGUUAGGUUUAAACAUGCGCACAAGUAAUACAAUCGGAAUGAUUUCCAGCCAAACUGUUGCAAAAAGAAAAGUGUAGCUCAUCUUCUUGCACAGCUUUUGAGAUGGAAACAUAUGGAAGGGAUGAAAUCAACGAAAAAAGUCUAAAAUAGUAUAUCUACUAAAUUGUAAAACAUGACUGUCCAACACAGCAAAGUGAUAUUAAUAAAAGGCAUGGAAAUGUGUAAAGAAACAUCCUAUCUCUAACAAUAUCAUGCAGCAACAGGUGAGGC
rnacentral:lncRNA from 1 species